GCAGUGGUGGUUCCGUGGCAGAAUUCUCACCUUCUGUGCAAGAGACCUGGGUUCGAUCCCCAGGCAAUGCA
rnacentral:tRNA from 1 species